UUGAUUUUCUUAAUGAUGAACAAACGCAAUAGAGUCAAGCUCUGAAACCAAAAAAUUGGUUGUGGAAGAUUAUUGCUAUAAUUUCUGAAAAGAAAUCAA
rnacentral:snoRNA from 1 species